rnacentral:rRNA from 1 species
AGCAGCCGCGGUAAUUCCAGCUCCAAUAGCGUAUAUUAAAGUUGUUGCAGUUAAAAAGCUCGCAGUUGAAUUUCGGGACUAACAGGUUGGUCGCGCCUUUGGUGUGUACUGGCCUAGUUGGUUUCUCCCUUCUGACGAACCACGAUGUCAUUAAUUUGGUGUCGUGGGAAAUCAGGACUGUUACUUUGAAAAAAUUAGAGUGUUUAAAGCAAGCUAACGCUUGGAUACAUUAGCAUGGGAUAAUGAAAUAGGACGUUCGAUCCUAUUUUGUUGGUUUCUAGGAUUGACGUAAUGAUUAAUAGGGAUAGUUGGGGGCAUUAGUAUUCAAUUGUCAGAGGUGAAAUUCUUGGAUUUAUUGAAGACUAACUACUGCGAAAGCAUUUGCCAAGG